AUUGAACGCUGGCGGCAGGCCUAACACAUGCAAGUCGAGCGGAUGACGGGAGCUUGCCCCUUGAUUCAGCGGCGGACGGGUGAGUAAUGCCUAGGAAUCUGCCUGGUAGUGGGGGACAACGUUUCGAAAGGAACGCUAAUACCGCAUACGUCCUACGGGAGAAAGCAGGGGACCUUCGGGCCUUGCGCCAUCAGAUGAGCCUAGGUCGGAUUAGCUAGUUGGUGAGGUAAUGGCUCACCAAGGCGACGCUCCGUAACUGGUCUGAGAGGAUGAUCAGUCACACUGGAACUGAGACACGGUCCAGACUCCUACGGGAGGCAGCAGUGGGGAAGAUUGGACAAUGGGCGAAAGCCUGAUCCAGCCAUGCCGCGUGUGUGAAGAAGGUCUUCGGAUUGUAAAGCACUUUAAGUUGGGAGGAAGGGCAGUAAGUUAAUACCUUGCUGUUUUGACGUUACCGACAGAAUAAGCACCGGCUAACUCUGUGCCAGCAGCCGCGGUAACAC
rnacentral:rRNA from 1 species